rnacentral:rRNA from 1 species
UACGUAGGGUGCGAGCGUUAAUCGGAAUUACUGGGCGUAAAGGGUGCGCAGGCGGCGUCGCAAGUCAGGCGUGAAAUCCCCGGGCUUAACCUGGGAACUGCACUUGAAACUACGAUGCUGGAGUAUGGCAGAGGGAGGUGGAAUUCCACGUGUAGCGGUGAAAUGUGUUGAUAUUGGAAGGAACACCGGAGGCGAAAGCGGUGUACUGGGGCUGGUCUGACGCUGAGGCACGAAAGCCAGGGGAGCGAACGGG